GGCAUCAUUAUAUGUUGUUACUUGUUACGGGCUAGUUCAGCUUACCGGCAUACGUUCUUUUGCUGAUUAAUUUGCUGGGAUGCUUUCGUUUCUUGUUAAGGUUAAUGUGCUUUAUGUGAAGUAUGAAGCAUGAAGCAUGAAGCAUGAAGCAUGAAGCUUCCUACUUUAUUCUUUAAGAUUAAGAGAUGAUUUUAUGUAUAUUAUUUGAUUUCAAUAAGAUUCUUUUAACCCACCAAGAUCGAUGGAAAAAUGUUUUGUGCUAGUUGC
rnacentral:lncRNA from 1 species